rnacentral:rRNA from 1 species
UACGUAGGGGGCGAGCGUUGUCCGGAUUUAUUGGGCGUAAAGAGCGCGUAGGUGGUUCUGUAUGUCUACCGUGAAAGCAUACAGCUCAACUGUAUUUUGUCGGUAGAAACUGCAGGACUUGAGGCUGGGAGGGGCUGGUGGAAUUCCCUGUGUAGCGGUGAAAUGCGUAGAGAUGGGGGAGAACACUCGUGGCGAAGGCGGCCAGCUAGACCAGUUCUGACACUGAGGCGCGACAGCGUGGGGAGCAAACAGG